rnacentral:rRNA from 1 species
GAUGAACGCUGGCGGCGUGCUUAACACAUGCAAGUCGAGCGAAGCAGUUAAGUUGAUUUCUUCGGAUUGAUUCUUAACUGACUGAGCGGCGGACGGGUGAGUAACGCGUGGGUGACCUGCCCCAUACCGGGGGAUAACAGCUGGAAACGGUUGCUAAUACCGCAUAAGCGCACAGAGCUGCAUGGCUCGGUGUGAAAAACUCCGGUGGUAUGGGAUGGGCCCGCGUCUGUUUAGCUGGUUGGUGGGGUAACGGCCUACCAAGGCGACGAUCAGUAGCCGGCCUGAGAGGGCGACCGGCCACAUUGGGACUGAGACACGGGCCCAAACUCCUACGGGAGGCAGCAGUGGGGAAUAUUGCACAAUGGGGCGAAAGCCUGAUGCAGCGACGCCGCGUGAGCGAUGAAGUAUUUCGGGUAUGUAAAGCUCUGUCAGCAGGGAAGAAAAUGACGGUACCUG